rnacentral:rRNA from 1 species
CUGGGAUUAGAUACCCUGUUAUUUAAAUAUAAAUAAAAUAAAUUUAAGUAGUAAAUGAAUAUCAUUAAAUUUAAAUAAUUUGGCAGUAUUUUUUAAAUUAGAGGAACUUGUUUUAUAAUUGAUAAUCCACGUUUAAAAUUACUUAAUUUAUAUUUUUUAUAUAUUGUUGUUUUAAAUUUAUCAUUAUUAAUGAAAUAUUUGAUAUUUUUAAUAUAAAAAUAAUUCAAAUCAAAAUGUAGAAUAAUUAAGAAAAAAUGAGUUACAAUUGUUUUUAAUAUUGGAUUUUUAAUUAAAUAAUUAAAAUAAAUUGGAUUUAAAAGUAAAAAUAAUUAUAUAAUUAUUUUGAAUUAUAUAAAAAAUAUGUACAAAUCGCCC